rnacentral:rRNA from 1 species
GACGAACGCUGGCGGCGUGCUUAACACAUGCAAGUCGAACGGAAAGGCCCUGCUUUUGUGGGGUGCUCGAGUGGCGAACGGGUGAGUAACACGUGAGUAACCUGCCCUUGACUUUGGGAUAACUUCAGGAAACUGGGGCUAAUACCGGAUAGGAGCUCCUGCUGCAUGGUGGGGGUUGGUAAGUUUCGGCGGUUGGGGAUGGACUCGCGGCUUAUCAGCUUGUUGGUGGGGUAGUGGCUUACCAAGGCUUUGACGGGUAGCCGGCCUGAGAGGGUGACCGGCCACAGUGGGACUGAGAUACGGCCCAGACUCCUACGGGAUGCAGCAGUGGGGAAUAUUGCACAAUGGGCGGAAGCCUGAUGCAGCAACGCCGCGUGCGGGAUGACGGCCUUCGGGUUGUAAACCGCUUUCGCCUGUGACGAAGCGUGAGUGACGGUAAUGGGUAAAGAAGCACCGGCUAACUACGUG